CUGGUGUGAAUUGCAGAAUCCCGUGAACCAUCGAGUCUUUGAACGCAAGUUGCGCCCCAAGCCUUCUGGCCGAGGGCACGUCUGCCUGGGUGUCACAAAUCGUCGUUCCCCCUCAUCCUUCAAGGAUUCGGGACGGAAGCUGAUCUCCCGUGUGUUACCGCACGCGGUUGAUCGAAAUCCGAGCCAAGGAUGCCUUGAGCGUCCCGACAUGCGGUGGUGAACUCGUUCAACUCUCCCUAUCGUCGGUCGCUCUUGUCCGGAAGCUCUAGAUGACCCAAAGUCUUCAAUGCGACCCCAGGUCAGGCGGGAUCACCCGCUGAGUUUAAGCAUAUCAAUAAGCGGAGGAAAAGAAACUAACAAGGAUUCCCUUAGUAACGGCGAGCGAACCGGGAAGAGCCCAGCUUGAAAAUCGGACGUCUUCGGCGUUCGA
rnacentral:rRNA from 1 species